UGCAUUCGUUGCUGAGGAGUUCGUGCUGAAAUGAGUCUUGCUCCCUCUCGGCUUGACUGAGAGAAAGGAGCUAAGUGCUUUCUGUAUCAGAAUGCAAAGAGAAGUGUCGGACGUCCAAUUGAGUUGACUCGGCAGUACCCUCCAUAGUUUCCUGAUUCAUAACGAAAUCGGUGAGAAGGCUCUGAUCCAAACAUGGAGAAGAUGCAGUGUCGUUUAGAGUUCUUUCAAGCUUACUUGAUGCCUUGAUUUCGUUCAAGUCGUGAUUAAGGUC